GGGGGUAUAGCUCAGCUGGGAGAGCGCUUGAAUGGCAUUCAAGAGGUCAGGGGUUCGAAUCCCCUUAUCUCCACCA
rnacentral:tRNA from 1 species